AUCUAUCUGAUGAUUCCAAAAUAGGACGAAACACGCGUCUUGGAU
rnacentral:hammerhead_ribozyme from 1 species